UCAUGUUAUUUAGAAACAGCUCAGUAAUGAAGCACAUAAUGUUGGCAAGAGAACAAGGAAUUUCUUCCAGAAGGAAACAAAGAUGAGUAAAGAUCCCUUCCUAAUACAAUUUGAAAAUUAGGUGGCACAAAAGUUGAGCAUCCAGCUGAGAAAUUAUAGAGGUUAAUAAAAAUAAAAUUAGAGCCUAAAACACAUCCCUCAGGUGACAAUCGAUUCAUAACAGAGACACAUCCUGCCUACACAUUUGUUGUGGUUACCCUCCAAGGUUGAGUGACAACAAAAGCUGAUAAACACGCAGUUCGAAGACUUGAACCACGAAAUUGCACAGGAGCGGACGUAAAACAGCCUAACACAAGUCUUGGACAGAUUACCAUUGGGGUCAUUUCAAUUCAGCGGUUCCACUAUUUACCAUGAAAAACGUCGAGCGACAGAGAGUGCGAGGCAAUCAGGCAAUGAAGUACGAAGAUGCCAUGAAACAGGCGUUUCACGAAAUAUAUCAGAAUCUCAGAGUGAUUGAAGAGGGAACAAAAAAGAAACGAGAGAAAUUAGACCUUCAACGACGGAGAGGGAGUGCUCCUCCUACAACGCUUAGAAAAACAACAGCUGCUUUUGAGAGAGCAAGGACAGAUGCUGUAAGAAAGGUGUCAACGCCACAACCGGUGCGUUGCUCUAAAGUGAAGGAAGACAUAUGAAUUUUAACAUAAACUGAGGUUUGAAAUCAAGAGUGUUUGAGUGUUAAAAGCGAUGAAGAUGUGAGCAAUGAAAACUUUUUGUCAACGGAGCCACCAUUGUUUUAAUCUGUAAUUUGCCAAGAGAAGUUCAAUGUUUCCGCGUCAUCGAUGAGCGAUUACAAAGUGGAAACACCUCAGGAGAAAACACAACCAACUUGCAGCAAGGUUAGACCAACCGGUUUGAAUGUUGAAAGAAUAUUUUGUGAAUCACAAAUAUCAUCUGCUGAUACUCCUAUGAGAGAAACUGCCUUGGUUGCAUCGCUGUUUGCUUGCUGUAAUUAACAACAUAACCAUAGGGAUCAGUAUACGCAGUCGAGUAACGAGAGUUUUCACUCGUGUGAAGUAAGGCAUUUUUAAUCAUGCAAAUACAAAUGCUACUCACUACGACUGUUCGAAAGAAGGUCACGUUAUUCCAGGAUUAGAAGUUAACCUAGGUAAUGAUUUUUUCUUCGGUAAAAGCGUAUAUUAUGGCUAACCUUUUGUGGUGUUUCAUGCGAAGAAAACAAAGUAUACACUAAACAGAUUUCUACGAAGCUAUAAAAUUCAGUCCACAAAAAUCUACCGUUGCUGUGGAUAAACUUUACUGACCGUUUUGAACCACUACGUCUAUUUAAUAUGAUCUGUGGUCUAAUUAACGAGUUUGGAAUCUCAUAACAUUGAUUAUUCAAAGAAUACUGACUGAUAGCAGCCGUGGAAAAUCUAAGUUAUUUACCAGCUAUGGAUUUCUUUAGACACAUGGUGUUGCUCUCUGAGGUGGCAGGGCUUAGGCAAAAAGAGUGAAUCAUGACAUGACCUUAUUGUUCGAGAGCAAAAACGCCUAAUUUCUUUCAAAAAAGUAUCGUGUGUUUUGAACAUUGUUUUGAGGUGGCAAAUUCUAUGCAUUAGUAAUAAGGAAAAAUAGUCUAUGCUCGAAAUAACUAACUAAUCAAUUGAGGUGAAAGUAAAUAGGAAAAAACUUAUCUCUUACUAAGGAUAUGUUUUUGCACAACAUCAUGACUUUUACUUUGUCUCAAAAGCAUUUUAAGCCACGUUAUCAUUUACGUUAAUAGAAUCACUAGACGAAUCUACAAAAAUUUCAGACGAAUGCCAUAAGGUCAAAACACAGAUCUAAAACAAAGAGAGAUUAGACACAUAAGAUAAUAAAAUCCUUCUCAUGAAACAAUAAUGUAUAAAAUAACAUUGGGAAAGUUAAUUCUAACACGAUAAAAACAACCGUGUAUAUUGUCACGCUUUUGGAGUGAAAUAUGUUCAAUGACAAAACCGCAAAGCGUGUGUCAUGUAAGAUCUGGGAGCGAUGUGAAAUCAAGUGUGCAAUUAUCUAUUCCUGAGUGGUCAGUAAGGUCAGAGUUCUUUAAGUUUUUUUAAGGUGCAAAGUUUUCCUCGUGAUUUUCAAAUGUAAUUUUUGUUGAACAGGGUACGUGAUGGUAUUGAGUCAAUUCACUUAACGCUGAUUCGCUUCACUUCAGGAAAAGAGUGCAAAUUAGGGGGACCUGUUAAUUUGCUUUGUUUUAAAAAUAUUUCGCAAGCCAAUCUCAUCUUGUGAUGAUCAAUUAGUUUUGCUCAAAAUGCAAAAAAAAAAAAGAAAAGAAAAAGCCUGCAUUCAAGUUUUAAAACACUGACAAAAAAAUGGUAACCUAUGAAAGUUGAGGUGAAGUGGUUUAAUUGAGUGGUCAUUUCAUAAGUUUUCGGACAAUGCAAUAAUUUACUUAAGCAGUAAAAAGGUCAUUGGAUCAUGGAGCUGUUGUUUGGUAUGACGUUUGCAAAGUUUAAGUUGAUUAUCUCGAAACAUUGUGUUAUAAACAGAAUAAGGAAGAAUGCAAAUGUUAAUCUCUGUUAUGAUGGAAUAAAUAAAUAUGAUAUUCAUCUUUAGUCGAAUAAUAUCAUUAUUGAUUUCUCUUCUUAACUAAAAAAGACCUACACCAAGGUACGAUUUGAACAUCAGGUGAAGGAGAGGUCAAGCCAAUAUCGUUGCUUUCACUUUGCAUAUUAGCAUAACGAUAAGAUUUUGCUAGGACAGACAAGAGGGAACCAAGCAGCUCGUCAAGACUAAUACAGUGAAAACAGUUUCAAAAUAAAAUAUUACAAUACCGUGUUA